GCCCGAUUAACUCAAUUGGUAGAGUAAAAUUUUGAAGCAAUUUAGGUAUAAGUUCGAAUCUUAUGUUGGGCA
rnacentral:tRNA from 1 species